rnacentral:lncRNA from 1 species
AUGUCAGAAUUACAACCUGAGGUUACAGCACUGUGACACUUUCAAGCUCUUCAAGGUUUGUCAAGCACAGUUAAUUAUAUUUACUAGAAGUCUCUCACCUCUCAUACUCAUGCACCUUAAUCAUACACACAGUGGAAAUCUAUAAAGACCUUAGAAUAAAAGGAGCGCGUUUAAACACUGCCUUUAGAACACAAAGAUGUAUCUGUGAUUUUGAAAAUAAGAAAGUUUUAUUGUUUUCAUUUGACCCAGGUCUUGAGCAAGGGCUUCAGGGAGAGGCUCAGACAGAAGACCGGACACCACAGGGGAUGAUGCCAGAGGGCCCCUCAAAAACUUCUGGGCUCCCGAGUCUCCUAGUCACGCUUGAGGGUGAACCUUCCGGGGAGACCCUCCCCCAGCCCAGCCCGAAAAGUCUCACCUCCUCCUCUAGGAAGUGGUUCUCCAGGAAGUCACAGAGAUGGCUCUCUCCACGGGCACGCAGAUCCCGAAGGGCUUGGUUCAGGAUCUUCCCCAGAACCUUGGCGGCUUCCUUGGCCUCCAGGGUUUUACCCCCACUCCUCUCGCGAAGGCUUCUGUACUUUCCGGAAAAGGGCACGAAGCCGCCCCCUCCCCCGCGCUGUUUUUGCAUUUUCAAGGGAGGCUGGGUGAUCUCGCUUCUCCUUGCCAACGGGCAGAAGUGGCCCACGCCCUGCGGAGCCACACCCUCCAGGCCAGAUAGAAGCCCAGAGAAAGGCAGACAAGUACAUCUGUGUGAGGGACUCCUGGGUUCAAAUAUUUUCUGCUCCUCUCACAUAUGGACCUUUGUCAAGAGCAGCUGCCCUGAAUUCUCCAGCAGAUGGAAGCUCUUCCUAGAGAUUUCCUCUGCUUCAGAUGCAGUGAUGAGAAUGUCCGCCUCUGUGCUUCUUCAGUGACAAUGACACACCCACAACACCCCCUGAGCUCCACCCUGCUUUCAGUAGCUGCCUCUGCAUGCUACCUCACUUCUGUGUUCUUCCAUAGUUUUUCUGAUGAUGAAACAGUGGAGUGAUUACUUUCCAUCCUAUACAUCUCAAUUAGGUCUUGGUUAAAAAUAGAUUUUCCCUUGCAAGAAACAUGAAUGUAAUGGUGCCUUUUGUGUCACACUAUUAAAUAUCUUCCCUGGAAGAACCAUCUCAGGAAUCUAUGCUUUAACAUUUUCAUGGUCACAGUUAUUCAUGCUAUCCUUGUCUUUUAGAGAUAUAAAGAGGCAUUUUAAACGCAAUAAGCAUCAGUGAAUUUCAGAUUCAGUCUGUCCAGUUAACGCUAAAACAAUUAAGUAAAAAUAUAUACAUAUGUACAUUUAUACAUACAUAAAAAUAAUUAAAAUAUAACAAGAAAGCCCAUAUAGAAGAUCACAUGGCUAUGAAUUACUCUUUUUCACUCUCCCAGUAAUUGUCAAGAUUUUCAAAAAGAAAACAUGCUACAAGUAUUUCCAUAUACUUUAAUAUGAAAUAUAAUUUAUAAAUACCCUGAUAUAUGUAGCUAUGGACAGUACAGAUACAGACACAGAUAUAGAUCAGUCAAGGUUUCUUCAAGAAUGUAGAAGACUAUAUAUUACAAAAAUAGCAAAGGUGAGAGGAAUCACUUACCAACAAUUUCAGCCAGUGGUGUGAAGACAGGUGGCUCUUAAUAACUCUCUAAAAAGUUGCUGCAAUUUACAAGGGUCUUUGGGAAGUCUUCACAAAUUUUGUGGUUUGGGCCACAAAAGUGAACAGUUAUCCAGAUAACCAACUGUGAACUUAAUAUCGGUAUCUGCCUGAGACACCUCUUUCUUCCUCGUGUACAAAUCUUGUUAGAUUACUUCUCAUUGAUAAAUUCUGGAAAAGCAUAAAGUGAUGGUGAACUUCCAAGAGACCACCCAGGACAAACAUACAUACAGAAAAAUUGAAGAAAAUUGAAAUGUCCAUACAGCUGAGCAGUAAAUUAUAAAGCAACCACCAAUGGAAGUACCGAUCAGAUAAAAAAAAAUAAAACAAAAGUGACAUUGCCA